rnacentral:tRNA from 1 species
UCCCUUGUGGCUGAGCUGGUGAAGAAUCUGCCUACAAUGUAGGAGGCCUAGGUUUGAUCCCUGGUUUGGGAG